UGGUGGAGUGAUUUGUCUGGUUAAUUCCGUUAACGAACGAGACCUCAACCUACUAACUAGUACCCGUAACAAACGGGUGUUACUUCUUAGAGGGACAAUGUGUUGUAAACACAUGGAAGUUUGAGGCAAUAACA
rnacentral:rRNA from 1 species